AAGUCGUAACAAGGUUUCCGUAGGUGAACCUGCGGAAGGAUCAUUAAUGAAACUUCAAAGUCAACUUGUUCCCAUCUGUUGCUGGUGGAGACACAUGUGCACGAUGGGACAAGUUGCAAAUCCACACCCCUUGUGCAUCUUAUGACUCUGAGUUGCCAUUUGCAUGGCCUUUUUCCAAGGCCUGGUGACUCGAGUACUUUUACACACUCAUGAAUGUAAUGGAAUGUUCAUUGUGCAUAAUGUACAACCAAAAACAACUUUCAACAACGGAUCUCUUGGCUCUCGCAUCGAUGAAGAACGCAGCGAAAUGCGAUAAGUAAUGUGAAUUGCAGAAUUCAGUGAAUCAUCGAAUCUUUGAACGCACCUUGCACCCUUUGGUAUUCCGAAGGGUACACCCGUUUGAGUGUCAUUGUAAUCUCACUACAAACCUCUUUGGUUGUAUGUGGAUCUGGAUGCUGCUGUGUUCUACAAACAGCUCGUCUGAAAUGCCUGAGUGUACCCUGCUUUGCAGCGUAUUCGGUGUGAUACAUCUUCACCGGAGUUUGACCUUUCGAGGUCACGUCUGCUUACUUAUGGCUCUAUGCUUCCAACUGUCUUGACCAGACAAUGCCUGACAAUUUGACCUCAAAUCGGGUGGGACUACCCGCUGAACUUAA
rnacentral:misc_RNA from 1 species